UGGUGAACCUGCGGAAGGAUCAUUACCGAGUGCGGGUCUUUAUGGCCCAACCUCCCACCCGUGACUAUUGUACCUUGUUGCUUCGGCGGGCCCGCCAGCGUUGCUGGCCGCCGGGGGGCGACUCGCCCCCGGGCCCGUGCCCGCCGGAGACCCCAACAUGAACCCUGUUCUGAAAGCUUGCAGUCUGAGUGUGAUUCUUUGCAAUCAGUUAAAACUUUCAACAAUGGAUCUCUUGGUUCCGGCAUCGAUGAAGAACGCAGCGAAAUGCGAUAACUAAUGUGAAUUGCAGAAUUCAGUGAAUCAUCGAGUCUUUGAACGCACAUUGCGCCCCCUGGUAUUCCGGGGGGCAUGCCUGUCCGAGCGUCAUUGCUGCCCUCAAGCCCGGCUUGUGUGUUGGGCCCUCGUCCCCCGGCUCCCGGGGGACGGGCCCGAAAGGCAGCGGCGGCACCGCGUCCGGUCCUCGAGCGUAUGGGGCUUCGUCUUCCGCUCCGUAGGCCCGGCCGGCGCCCGCCGACGCAUUUAUUUGCAACUU
rnacentral:rRNA from 1 species